rnacentral:rRNA from 1 species
AUACGUAGGGGGCGAGCGUUGUCCGGAAUGAUUGGGCGUAAAGGGCGCGUAGGCGGCUUUGCAAGUCAGUAGUGGAAGUCCAUUUUUCAAGGAUGGAAGUGCUACAGAAACUGCGGAGCUUGAGUGCAGGAGAGGUUAUCGGAAUUCCCGGUGUAGCGGUGAAAUGCGUAGAGAUCGGGAAGAACACCAGUGGCGAAGGCGGGUAACUGGACUGCAACUGACGCUGAGGCGCGAAAGUGUGGGGCGCAAACAGGAUUAGAUACCCUGGUAGUCCACACUGUAAACGAUGAAUGCUAGGUGUAGGAGGUAUCGACCCCUUCUGUGCCGCAGUAAACACAGUAAGCAUUCCGCCUGGGGAGUACGGUCGCAAGAUUAAAACUCAAAGGAAUUGACGGGG